ACCAAAAGGACAGUGUGUCUAGAGAUGUAUUUAUUUACAUAGUACUUUUUGUCUGUAUCAUUCUAAGCACCAUAUCAUGGGUUCCCUGGUGGUCUCCCAUCUGGGCACCUCAGGACACCUGCCAAGUGUCCCUAUUUUCAAGGGACAGCCCCAUUGUGACACCUCCCUCUGCUGGCUCACUGGUCACCAGAGUGCAAAAAGGCCUGGUGAACUCCUAUGGUUGGAUCAUUUCGUGUUUCUUCCAGGAAGAAGAUAGACAUGCUGUGAAGAGCAAUUUCGCGGAUGGCGAGAAAAAAUAAAGUGUGCCCUCUCCCCGAGUCCUCCCCCCCCCGCCCCGCUGCAGGCCCCUUUUCGAAAGGACUUCAAAGGCUCCACGUACUUCCUGGCCGCCUCAGGCAAAAGAGAAGGAAAGUCCACCUGAAGAUGAUCUGAUCAUCGAAGACCUCGAGGAGGAGCAGGCGGAGACUGGAGGAAGAAACACCAAGGAAAACAUGAAGUGGCUGAUCUGGAAGAAGAUGGCAGGAGGAAGAAAGAACAAGGAAAACAUGAAAGUGUGGCAUAUUUACAGCACAAUCCUAUGCAUGUCUACUCAGAAGUAAGCCCUGUUGACUUCAAUGAGGGUUACUCCCAAAUAAGUGGGUAUAGGAUUGUGGAUUCAUACCAACAGAGGAGUGGCUUUUGAUUUAAGUGUCUCACCAGCUAUGGACUAGUUAAUGCAAAGAAGUGACUAACAGUAUAAACUUAAUGAUGUCUACUCAGAACUAAGUCCUUGUGAAUUCCAUGGGGCUUACUCCGAAGUAAAUGGACGGAGAAGUAAUUACAUGUAAGAAUGCCAGGUAAAACGAUGAGAAUAAUCUCAGAAUAAUUGCUACCACUAAUAUUGCAGUAGCAUCCAGCACAAUUCUAUAUACUCAGAAGCAAGUCCUGCUGAAUGCAGUGGCUCUUACUCCCGGGUAAGUGCAGUUUAGGAUUUCACCCUCGGGAAAUCAGUUUUCAGCCAGUGGUCAUUCAUACUAUCCCAGCCUCUUAUUGGGGUCCCCGCCUUCUAUUUUAGCCUUAUGGUUAUAAAGUGGCCAUGAUAAAUAUGGAUUAUAUGAAUCUACAGAUAUGUAGAUAGUAACUACUCUUAUAAGGCACAGUGAAGAAAUAAGAAAUAAGCAGGGGGGUAGCUGCCUCCCUAAAUAAAGUAAAUAAAUAAAAAUACUUUGCUAAUUGACUAAUAGCACCUGGUUCUGCCCCUUACCUACUACGCUGCCUUAUCCCGAGUCAAACCACUACACUUCCCAGCAGCGAUAGCUUUCCAGGGAUUUAGACAGGAGCUUGGCCCACUCUAACUCCCAGGUGCUGAACCUGAGGCUCUCUGCACAGAAAGCAGACACUCCAUCCACAGAGCCAGAUUGCCCCCCCCCCACAACAGCGCAGGACCAGGGGGUGCAAGCAUUGUGCCUCUCC